GUCAUUGGGUCAUUAUUUUCGAGACUUUAACGUGUAAUCGACUCCGGCCCUUCCACUCCCUGCAAAUUAUUGUUUUUUCUCUGAAUUAAUCACGAUCCAAUCUAGAUCGUUUACUUUUGUUCUUCAUCUUCUCCAGUUUAGAGUAUACUCAAAACUAAGUUGAUUCCUUCUCUCCAUUGCUCACUAUUUCUCCGAAUCCUUGAACCACCGCAAUGAUGGUCCUAAAACGCUCCAAAUCGUCGAUCUCUGACGGUUUACUUCUACAAAGUUGCCGCCGGUCAAGUCGAUUCAGUUUUGAGAAGCCCAUAAUCCCGCUAAAGUAGGGAUGCUAAUUCGCCUUCAGCUGCUUCUGAUCGACAAAUAGUUCUUCCGAGAAUCCAUACAUUGCUUUUGAACCAGUCAAUCGGAAUCGAAAUGGGUGUUUCAGAAAUGCAUUAGUAGAGUUUUAUUUUGUGCCAGACCUUUCAAGGUCUCUAAUGCCACAACCCUUUGAGGGUUUCUGUAUCAACUAUAACAAGAGUUUGAUAAACAGGUUCUUGAUGGGACUAACUGAACUCCUUCUUGAACCAUCUCUUACAUUCAAGAUUUUGACUCUAUUUAUGAACCUCAAAACAUGUAAAAGUUUUGUAUUAGUGUUUCUUCUACUCUAUAACCAUAUUUUCUCUGUUUCAUCACUUCAUUUUCUCUGCUAGCUGACGACGGGACAAUAUAACUUGCAAUUUAAGUUAUAUGCUGGAGAUUGUUGACCAACACAAACCAAGAAUUUCGCGGCAGUGGCAUGUGUUGCAUAAGGUACGAAAGCUUCAGAUCUGUCAGAAUUUUGGAAGAGUUCCACGGAUAUAAUGAAAGAACUAAGGCCAAUCAAAGAAUCUGGCUCAGCCGAAGAUUUUGAGAAAGAGGCGCUGAUUCAGCGGUUUCGAGGCUGCUCAAGCUCAGG